GACGAACGCUGGCGGCGUGCUUAACACAUGCAAGUCGAACGGAAAGGCCCUGCUUGCAGGGUACUCGAGUGGCGAACGGGUGAGUAACACGUGGGUGAUCUGCCCUGCACUUCGGGAUAAGCUUGGGAAACUGGGUCUAAUACCGGAUAGGAGCCAUCUUUAGUGUGGUGGUUGGAAAGUUUUUUCGGUGUAGGAUGAGCUCGCGGCCUAUCAGCUUGUUGGUGGGGUAAUGGCCUACCAAGGCGGCGACGGGUAGCCGGCCUGAGAGGGUGUACGGCCACAUUGGGACUGAGAUACGGCCCAGACUCCUACGGGAGGCAGCAGUGGGGAAUAUUGCACAAUGGGCGCAAGCCUGAUGCAGCGACGCCGCGUGGGGGAUGAAGGCCUUCGGGUUGUAAACUCCUGUCGCUAGGGACGAAGCGUUUUUGUGACGGUACCUAGAUAAGAAGCACCGGCUAACUACGUG
rnacentral:rRNA from 1 species